CAGAGUUUCACGCAGGAGUUUUGUAGCGAGCGCCCGGCUCCCGCCUGGAGAGGGGAGGAGGGCGUGUGCCGCGGGGGGACCACCGCGCCCGCGGGAAGGGAGCCCAGGGGGGCCGCCUGGCCGCUGGAGGGAUGGCAGCAGGGGAGGAGAGUGACAGAUGGCUUAAAAAGGGGAAAAAAAGCAUUCGGGGACCGGAGACAAGUACAGCAGGGAGGGCGCUUGCCUUGCACGCGGCCCACCCGGGUUGGAUCCGACACUCUGGUCCCCCGAGCAUCUCCAGGAGUGACCCCAGAGCAUCUCCCGAUGUGGCCCCCAACUCAAACCAAGCAAAUUAAAAUGGAUUCAGUUGGGCUGGGGCGGAUGCUUUGCACACGUGAAGCCCGGUUCCAUGGCCAGCACCAUAUGAUCCCUGAGCGCGCCCCCCGCGGCCCCCCCCCCAGUGACUCCUAAGCUUCUGAGCACUGCUGAGUUGGUCCUGAAUGACAAAAAUAAGGAAAUAAUAGAGUUGACAGAGUUGAGAAGGAGAAGGGCCCCGGGAUAUUUUCUGGAUUGAGUAACUGGAUGUUGGUUCUGUGCGGGAAGGAAGCGCUGCAGGGGUGGAGGGUGGAGAGGCCAGGUGUCCUGCUGCUGUGAGGCUCCCAGCCCAGUGCUCAGGAAGUUACUCCUGGCUCUGUACUCAAGACUCACUCCUAGUGGUGCUCGGGGAACCAUAGGGGAUGCUGGGGAUCGAACCCAGAUUGGCCACGUGCAAGAGAUAUCGAACGCCAGCUGUUGUGAAACAGGAUUCAGAGGUCCCGAUCAUCCCAGCAGUUUCUGUCUCCGGGACUGUAACUGGCCCCUCUGGUUUAGAGGCGCGACACCCCCACGAGGGUCUCCAGAGACGGGGAGUCUGAAGACUCCAAAGGCUCGUUUCCGAGACCCAGACAGCUGUUCCUUCGCUAGUGUCACGCGUGUGCGCUCUGAGCCCUGCCUCAGAGAUGACAACGGGGAAACCGCCUGGUUGCUGCUCCCGAUUUCCUCCUACUCAUUGGGCCUCUGAUCCUGCAUUAUUUUCACAGUCCGAAGGAAAACCAAGAACGCCGUUUCUUUAGUUUUACAAAAUAAAUCUUUGGUGCAGAAUCCCUGGGGGGCGGGGGGGGUUGCAUGCGUGUGUGUGUGUGUGUGUGUGUGUGUAGUAAAAUAGUUUUUAUUUAGAAAAAUUACAAAGGCGGGAGGUACACAUCCCAGAUUACAAUGUGGGCAGCAGAGAAUGUGCCUGAGUUUUGUUUUUUCGGAGCAAUAAUACAGUGGAGAGGGCACUUGCCUUGCACACAGUCAACCCGGGAGUUGAUCCCCGGCACCCCCGUGGUUCCCUGAGUACCCCCAGGAGUGAUUCUUGAGUGCAGAGCCAGGAGUAACCCCUGAGCAUCACGGGUUUGGCUCCAGAAAACAAAGCAAAACAAAAAAAUUCUAGAAAAGGGGCUGAAAUCUGAUAAAGAAACAAGAAACAGCGCAGGUGAAAAUGGGUCGUUUGGGAGCUGUAGCGGAGAGGCGCCAGCUAACAGGAGCCUUUGAAGAGAAAGCGGAGCUGAGUGAAGGUCACGAUCAAGGUCACACGUGCGACCUUCUCCGGGCAGAGGGAGCAGGCCUGAGCUUUGCUUCAGGCCCUCGGAGUGUUUCCGCUGCACAAAGUUGUCCCCGUGCACACUCGCUCGCUCGAGACAGUCUCCUGUGAUUCACUUGAAGGCGGUCUUCAAACAUUUUAUUGGGUAAAUCUGUCAUUUGUCCAAAUCUAUAUAUAGCUCCUUUCUUUCCGAAAAUCUAAGCUCUUCCAAAUUGCUGAGUCAGAGAACAGCUCAGUAUUUAUAACUCUUGGGAGUUGAUUCUGUAUAUUCGCACAAUAUCCUGAGAAAUGCCUCUGAACCCAGAGAAUUCUGCCCCUGGGGCUCACUGCUGGGCUGGUGGUCCCCAGCUCCCUGAGAGUCCCGGUGUCUCCAGCCCGCUCGAGUUCCUCUAGGACAGGACCCGCUCGGAGAGCUGGGAGGGACUGCAGCUCGGCGGGGAGGGGACGUCAGCCCGAUCUCACCCCGUGCACCCAGUCCCUCCUCAGAGAAAGGGGCACGUCAUUCCUCUAUCCAAGGACUAAAGCUGGAGCUCAGCCUCAUGCCCUGAUCCUACUGAGAGCCCCGCAGACAGUGCCCCAGUGCAGCCCGAUCUCUCAGUUGCCCCUGGGUGGUCAGCGGUCAGCUCCCGGCAGACCCAUGCACUGGCCUCUGGUCACUUCCUGCUUUUCUCUUGCCCUCUUAGGUUUUUCUUCCCUGAGUUAAUCAGACCUCAUUGCCUACCACCUCCUUUCCUUCACUGUGCUCUCACCAGGUGGCUUCCCUGCUCUUCCUCCAAUAGGUCUUCCAGGUACAGUCACCUCAGGGCCUUUGCACAGGCUAAUUUCACCACAGGAAGUCUCUCUGCUCAGACUAGAACUCACUGUUGGCUCACCAGGAAGGCCUCUGCCCACUCCAGUAGAAUGGCAUCUGUGUGUGUGUGUUUUAUUUAUUUUUCUAAAUAA